rnacentral:rRNA from 1 species
UACGUAGGUGGCAAGCGUGUCCGGAUUUAUUGGGUUUAAAGGGUGCGUAGGCGGUUCUAUAAGUCAGUGGUGAAAUCCGGCAGCUCAACUGUCGAUGGUGCCAUGAUACUGCAGACUUGAGUACAGACGAGGUAGGCGGAAUUGACGGUGUAGCGGUGAAAUGCUUAGAUAUCGUCAAGAACACCGAUAGCGAAGGCAGCUUACUAGACUGUAACUGACGCUGAUGCACG